GUCGUUGCUGAGGCGCGUCGCGAGCUUGCCCGCUGGGUGUUUGACUUUUCGUUUGGCUUCUGACCUGGUAUACGGUGGCCCUUACGGCUGCAUCUAGCCCUAAACCAUAAUCCGUACCCUUCUCCGUCUCCUCGGUCGUUAAUGAGGCGUACCAGAGACUCGCCCAAGGCCCCAAUUUUCUGCUGAUCCACAGGCAACCAGGCCGGGAUUCGCACCAUAAGUGCCAGGCUCUUAGGCAUGUCGGUCCCCGGACUCUCCCUCGCAGGAAUCCCAUCAUCUGGACAGGGGGCUCACCUAUACGUUUGGGAGGCCUACCUGGAGGAAGCUUGAGGACUAGACGAAAGAGAACGUCCAGUUAGACAUUGUGUGUGCUAAAGGCGGGGGAAGGUAGAGCUGGGCAUGCCCAGGAGUCUGCGGGUUAGCUGCCCAAGUGUGUCGGGGCAGAGGCGAGAAAGGCAGGACUCAGAACACAAGUCCCAUGGAAUGCAAAGAACGGCCUCGGGCAAGACCAGGGCCUGGAAUUGGGUCUUAGGACAUCUCAUGUUACAGAAUCUCUCUUACCUGAAUCUGAAAACCAGUAUAAUAACUUUAGGUCAAGUGGACUCCAGCUAAGUACUGUCAAUCAACAGCCUGUUUCCCUUCCACCUGCCUAUUCCUGAGGGUGAGGUCUUUUCCCUGGUCCCAGGACUUCCCCACCCCUCCUCCAAAUACCAAGACUAUGGGCUUAAAAGUUUCAAAUGGGUGCUGGAGAGAUGGCUCAGCAGUUAAGAGCACCGACUGCUCUUUCGAAGGUCCUGAGUUCAAAUCCCAGCAACCAUAUGGUGGCUCAC
rnacentral:lncRNA from 1 species